rnacentral:rRNA from 1 species
AACGCUAGCUACAGGCUUAACACAUGCAAGUCGAGGGGCAGCAUGGUCUUAGCUUGCUAAGGCCGAUGGCGACCGGCGCACGGGUGAGUAACACGUAUCCAACCUGCCGUCUACUCUUGGACAGCCUUCUGAAAGGAAGAUUAAUACAAGAUGGCAUCAUGAGUCCGCAUGUUCACAUGAUUAAAGGUAUUCCGGUAGACGAUGGGGAUGCGUUCCAUUAGAUAGUAGGCGGGGUAACGGCCCACCUAGCCUUCGAUGGAUAGGGGUUCUGAGAGGAAGGUCCCCCACAUUGGAACUGAGACACGGUCCAAACUCCUACGGGAGGCAGCAGUGAGGAAUAUUGGUCAAUGGGCGAGAGCCUGAACCAGCCAAGUAGCGUGAAGGAUGACUGCCCUAUGGGUUGUAAACUUCUUUUAUAAAGGAAUAAAGUCGGGUAUGGAUACCCGUUUGCAUGUACUUUAUGAAUAAGGAUCGGCUAACUCCGUGCCAGCAGCCGCGGUAAUACGGAGGAUCCGAGCGUUAUCCGGAUUUAUUGGGUUUAAAGGGAGCGUAGAUGGAUGUUUAAGUCAGUUGUGAAAGUUUGCGGCUCAACCGUAAAAUUGCAGUUGAUACUGGAUAUCUUGAGUGCAGUUGAGGCAGGCGGAAUUCGUGGUGUAGCGGUGAAAUGCUUAGAUAUCACGAAGAACUCCGAUUG